rnacentral:rRNA from 1 species
CUAAGCGUACACGGUGGAUGCCCUGGCAGUCAGAGGCGAUGAAGGGCGUGCUAAUCUGCGAUAAGCGCCGGUAAGGUGAUAUGAACCGUUAUAACCGGCAAUACCCGAAUGGGGAAACCCAGUGUGACUCGUCACACUAUCAUUAACUGAAUCCAUAGGUUAAUGAGGCGAACCGGGGGAACUGAAACAUCUAAGUACCCCGAGGAAAAGAAAUCAACCGAGAUUCCCCCA